rnacentral:lncRNA from 1 species
UCCGUCCAUAUAGCUCUAAUUGGUGCCAUGACACCUAUAAGUCAAAAGUUGUAUCAUUUCUCAACUGCUUGAUUUCUUGUAACAUUGGGAUUCUGCUCCACUGCUCUUAAAAUAGAAGUUAACAACUAAUUACCUUAUAAAAGGGAUAUGAAAGGGCUCAAACUAUCUUUGCACUAGUCCAACCCAUAUAAUGCAGUUCCUCAUACUAUCUUCUCCACGCCCCAUUUAUCAAAUUUAUUCAUUUCUUCAUUAUUCUUUACCAGAACAUAAGAAAUUGCAAUUCUAUGUGCACAUAAU